AUGAAUGUCGGUUGACUUUGAGGAUUUUUUUAAGAUUGAUCGAAGGAACUCAUCCUCAUUGCUCCAGGUGACGAGUUUGGUAUUCCAACAAGAAGUACUAGAGCACAAGUGACGUUGGUGAGGAUCUCUUUAGCUAGAGGGUUCGAGUUGGCAUAUUCCCGGUA